UAAUCAUUUGCCUCCUAAUUAGAGGCACGUAUGAACGGGAAACCGAGAAUAACCCUGUCUCUUUUCUGCCCAUAUAAACUUAUCUCUAGGUGAAAAAGCCUAGAUUAUUAUAAAAGACAAAAAGUCCCCGUCGAACUUUAAUCUCCCCUAGCCAAACCACAUCACAACCUAUUACGAUUUUCGUUGGGGCGACAAAGGAAUACAAACUUCCUACACACAUACGACAUCAAGUCACACAUUAAAAGACCCUACCACUGAUCCUAGGACACA
rnacentral:rRNA from 1 species